CCGACCUUAGCUCAGUUGGUAGAGCGGAGGACUGUAGUUAGUCAAACAGAUAAUCCUUAGGUCGCUGGUUCGAAUCCGGCAGGUCGGA
rfam:Beta vulgaris subsp. vulgaris Bvchr8.sca018.con0287.1, whole genome shotgun sequence.